rnacentral:rRNA from 1 species
AGCGAACGCUGGCGGCAGGCCUAACACAUGCAAGUCGAGCGGCCGUAGCAAUACGGCAGCGGCAGACGGGAGAGUAACACGUGGGAACGCGCCCUUUGGUUCGGAAUAACUCAGGGAAACUUGAGCUAAUACCGGAUAAGCCCUUACGGGGGAAGAUUUAUCGCCAAAGGAACGGCCCGCGUCCGAUUAGCUAGUUGGUGAGGUAACGGCUCACCAAGGCGACGAUCGGUAGCUGGUCUGAGAGGAUGACCAGCCUCACUGGGACUGAGACACGGCCCAGACUCCUACGGGAGGCAGCAGUGGGGAAUAUUGGACAAUGGGCGCAAGCCUGAUCCAGCCAUGCCGCGUGAGUGAUGAAGGCCUUAGGGUUGUAAAGCUCUUUUAGCAGGGAAGAUAAUGACGGUACCUGCAGAAAAAGCCCCGGCUAACUUCGUGCCAGCCGCCGCCGUAAUAC